UGAACCUGUAAGGCAGAGGUGAAAGCUACAUAUCCAGUAUCAAUCCCUUCCUGUGAGCAGCACUGUGUUUACCAGCAGGGCAGCAGCGGAGCUGUGUGUCUUUUUAAAGGCAGUUUUUGGCAUCUAAUGUUAAUCCUGAAAUUGGAAACCACAGUGGAUAAAAGUUCUGUGUAACUUGCUUCCAGAACAAAUAAGUUGUCUGGUAGGUGGUUUCCAGACAGAGACUCUUCUCUGGCUGCAGCAUUUUGUCACCAUUCCCUUUUGGACUUGUGCAGCAGCCCCCAGCGCAUACCAUGCGGUGGUCCCAUUGUGCAGCGACUAAUGGAAGUUCGUGAAUACUCAUUUCGUAUUAGUUCCACAAGAGCGUCAGCUUGCGCUUGUUUUUGGUGAAACAGAGAGAGGCUCAGCCAAAGACUAUUUUAAUCUGAAGAAUCUCACAGAACAGAGGAGUAAGGGGUCGUGCAGAAUCCGCCAGUCUUCUGUGCAGACGACUUUUAGAAGACAACAGUUCGUUGGUUUUUAUAAAGGGGCCGGUGUUAGCAACAGCCGUCUCCAAAGAGAUUAAUUCAACACUGGAUGGCAGCAGCAGAGGCUAGCAGCUACCAGAGAGAAAGGACAGUGUUAAAGGUGUGGGUGUUGCCUCCGGAGAAUAUGUCCCAACUAGUCGGAGGAUCUGAAAUCUAUCUAUGCUCAUUUUCAGCUUGUGGAUAAUGAAUGUCUGAUGGUGCCUUAAAUA